GGGCCCGUAGCUCAGUCAGGAUAGAGCGGCGGCCUCCUAAGCCGUAGGUCCCGGGUUCGAAUCCCGGCGGGCCCGCCA
rnacentral:tRNA from 1 species